UUCCUUUGUGGGAAAAAGAUGUACAAAGUUUCCGGGGGGACCCCCCGGAAGAGGGC
rnacentral:rRNA from 1 species